AAUGAACGUUGGCGGCGUGGAUUAGGCAUGCAAGUCGUGCGAGAAGCUUUUGCUUGCAUUAGACGGAAAGCGGCGAAAGGGAGAGUAACACGUGGGUACCUACCUCCAGGACUGGGAUAGCGGCGGGAAACUGCCGGUAAUACCAGAUAAUGUCCCCGGACCAAAGGUGUGAUUCCGCCUGAAGAUGGGCCCGCGUCCUAUUAGCUUGUUGGUGAGGUAAAGGCUCACCAAGGCGAAGAUGGGUACCGGGUGUGAGAGCAUGGCCCGGCUCACUGGGACUGAGACACUGCCCAGACACCUACGGGUGGCUGCAGUCGAGAAUCUUCCACAAUGGGCGAAAGCCUGAUGGAGCGACGCCGCGUGCGGGAUGAAGGCCUUCGGGUUGUAAACCGCUGUCAGUUGGGAGGAAAUGCUAUGGGGUUCUCUCCAUAGUUUGACCGAUCUUCAGAGGAAGCGCAGGCUAAGUUCGUG
rnacentral:rRNA from 1 species